GCGGCGCUGUCAGCAAGAGGCGGCGAGCGGAAUGCAGCGGCCGGAGGCCUGGCCACGUCCGCACCUGGGGGUGGGGGCCGCGGCCGUCCAGGCUGGGGGCCCGGAACCGCCCGCCGGAGCCGGGGAGCCCACGGGGCCGCGGUUGCAGGAACCUUCCCUCUACACCAUCAAGGCUGUUUUCAUCCUAGAUAACGAUGGACACCGCCUGCUGGCCAAGUAUUAUGAUGACACAUUCCCCUCCAUGAAGGAGCAGGUGGCUUUCGAGAAAAAUGUCUUCAAUAAGACCAACAGGACUGACAGUGAGAUUGCAUUCUUCGGGGGCAUGACCAUCGUCUACAAGAGCAGCAUUGACCUCUUCCUGUAUGUGGUGGGCUCAUCCCACGAGAAUGAGCUGAUGCUCAUGUCUGUUCUCACCUGCCUGUUUGAGUCCCUGGUCCACGUGUUAAGCUCCUCCUGGCCACGCGGAGGCUCAGGAGCGGCGUCUGCCUUCAGGAAGAAUGUGGAGAAGCGCUGGCUGCUGGAGAACAUGGACGGAGCCUUCUUGGUGCUGGACGAGAUUGUGGAUGGCGGCGUGAUUCUGGAGAGCGACCCCCAGCAAGUGAUCCAGAAAGUGAAUUUUAGGGCAGAUGACAGCAGCUUGACUGAACAGAGUGUGGCCCAGGUCUCUCUGCCCAGACUAAUCCUGCUUUUACGGAGCUUCCUGCCCUGGCACUAACUAACUAUCUCCUGCUGUGAUGGCCCAGGCCCAGAUGGGUGUGUAACAUUCCAUGUGGAGCCCCAGGUGUGGAGCACCAGGUUCUUCAGUCUGCCAAGGAACAAAUUAAAUGGUCAUUACUGAAAUGAAGGCUGUGCAUGUGAGGUUCCCUGCCCCAAGAUCAUUUCUGCAAUCCUGGCCAAAAAAAAAACUGACCCCAGGGGACAGGAGAGACACCUCUGUAUCCCAGGCACUCCCAGAACCGACUCCUGAGGUCUCUGGCCAGGGACUCUGAGAUGCAAAGGUUUGGCUUCAGCACUGAGUCACCCCUCUCACUGCCCUGGCCUGCCCCUUGGGCUGUGAGAACCAGUUGAGCUGCCUUAACUCAGACCUUAGACAUCCUGGCCCCUGAGUCCUAAUAAACCUGCUUUUGUCUCCUC